rnacentral:rRNA from 1 species
CCGAGAGGUGAAAUAUUUUAUAGCCUGUAGAUGAGUUCGCGUCUGAUUAGCUAGUUGGUAGUGUAAUGGACUACCAAGGCGACGAUCAGUAGCUGGUCUGAGAGGACGAUCAGCCACACUGGGACUGAGACACGGCCCAGACUCCUACGGGAGGCAGCAGUGGGGAAUUUUCCGCAAUGGGCGCAAGCCUGACGGAGCAAUACCGCGUGAGGGAGGAAGGUCUGUGGAUUGUAAACCUCUUUUGAUAGGGAAGAAGUUCUGACGGUACCUAUCGAAUCAGCAUCGGCUAACUCCGUGCCAGCAGCCGCGGUAAUACGGAGGAUGCAAGCGUUAUCCGGAAUUAUUGGGCGUAAAGCGUCCGUAGGUGGUUGUUCAAGUCUAUUGUCAAAGCCUGGGGCUUAACCCUGGAGAGGCAGUGGAAACUGGAUGACUUGAGUGCGGUAGGGGCAGAGGGAAUUCCCAGUGUAGCGGUGAAAUGCGUAGAUAUUGGGAAGAACACCGGUGGCGAAGGCGCUCUGCUGGGCCUGCACUGACACUGAGGGACGAAAGCUAGGGGAGCGAAAGGGAUUAGAUACCCC